CAAAUGCUCAUUAAAUCAGUCACGGUUUACUAGAACUAAUAUAUCUUUUUUUUGGAUAGAUGGAUAACUGUGGUAAUUCUAGAGCUAAUACAUGCAACACAGUCUUAUACAGUGAUGGAUAAGACACUUUUAUUAGAUCAAAACCAAUCGAUCAACUUGUUUGUUUCGUUUGAAUUUUGGUGAUUCUGAAUAACACCGUAGAUCACACAGUCAUUGUACUGGUGACGUAUCUUUCAAAUGCCUGACUUAUCACACUUUCGAUGGUAGAUUCUAUGUCUACCAUGGUUGUAACGGGUGACGGGGAAUCAGGGUUCGAUUCCGGAGAGGGAGCCUGAGAAACAGCUACCACAUCCAAGGAAGGCAGCAGGCACGCAAAUUACCCACUUCCGGCACGGAGAGGUAGUGACAAAAAAUAACGAUACGGGACUCAUCCGAGGCCCCGUAAUCGGAAUGAGUACACUUUAAAUCCUUUAACAAGUACCAAUUGGAGGGCAAGUCUGGUGCCAGCAGCCGCGGUAAUUCCAGCUCCAAUAGCGUAUAUUAAAGUUGUUGCAGUUAAAAAGCUCGUAGUUGGUUCUGUGUGCCACACUGUUGGUUUACCGCCUGUCGGUGUAACUGACAUGUUGUGGGACGUCCUGCCGGUGGUGGUUGCAGACCUUACGGUAUUGUUAAUUGCCUUUAAUUCUCAUUGCGGUGCUCUUUAUUGAGUGUCGAAGUGGGCCGGCACUUUUACCUUGAACAAAUUAGAGUGCUCAAGGCAAGCUAAAUUCUGCUUGAAUAUUUGUGCAUGGAAUAAUGGAACAGGACCUUGGUUCUAUUUUGUUGGUUUUCUGAAUCCAAGGUAAUGAUCAAUAUGGACGGUCGGGGGCAUUCGUAUUGCGGCGUUAGAGGUGAAAUUCUUGGAUCGUCGCAAGACGAACUAGAGCGAAAGCAUUUGCCAAGUACGUCUUAAUUGAUCAAGAACGAAAGUUAGAGGUUCGAAGGCGAUCAGAUACCGCCCUAGUUCUAACCAUAAACGAUGUCAGCCAGCGAUCCGUAGAGUUCUUUGAAUGACUCGACGGGCAGCUUCCGGGAAACCAAAGCUUUUGGGUUCCGGGGGAAGUAUGGUUGCAAAGCUGAAACUUAAAGGAAUUGACGGAAGGGCACCACCAGGAGUGGAGCCUGCGGCUUAAUUUGACUCAACACGGGAAACCUCACCAGGCCCAGACAUUGGAAGGAUUGACAGAUUGAUAGCUCUUUCUUGAUUCAGUGGGUAGUGGUGCA
rnacentral:rRNA from 1 species